AACGAACGCUGGCGGCGUGGAUAAGACAUGCAAGUCGAACGGAUUACUCAUUGUAGCAAUACAGUGGGUAGUCAGUGGCGCAAGGGUGCGUAACACGUGGGCAACCUGCCCGGAAGUGGGGGAUAGCUCGCCGAAAGGCGAAUUAAUACCGCAUGUGGCUAGAGGCGACAUCGCUUCGAGGCCAAAGCUGGGGCAACCUGGCGCUUCUGGAUGGGCCCGCGGCCUAUCAGCUAGUUGGUGAGGUAACGGCUCACCAAGGCUAUGACGGGUAGCUGGUAUGAGAGGACGACCAGCCACACUGGAACUGAGACACGGUCCAGACACCUACGGGUGGCAGCAGUCGAGAAUUGUUCUCAAUGGGGGAAACCCUGAAGGAGCGACGCCGCGUGGAGGAUGAAGGUCUUCGGAUUGUAAACUCCUGUCAUUGGUGAACAAAGCCCUCGGAGUAACUGCCGUUGGGUUUGAUAGUAGCCGAAGAGGAAGAGACGGCUAACUCUGUGCCAGCCGCCGCGGUAAAAC
rnacentral:rRNA from 1 species